rnacentral:rRNA from 1 species
GACGAAGGGGGCUAGCGUUGUUCGGAAUUACUGGGCGUAAAGCGAGUGUAGGUGGUUGUCGUAGUCAGGCGUGAAAAGCCUUGAGCUCAACUCAAGAAAUGCGCUUGAUACUGGGCAGCUAGAGGACCGGAGAGGAUAGUGGAAUUCCCAGUGUAGUGGUGAAAUACGUAGAGAUUGGGAAGAACACCAGUGGCGAAGGCGGCUAUCUGGACGGUUUCUGACACUAAGACUCGAAAGCGUGGGGAGCAAACAGG